rnacentral:rRNA from 1 species
GUCGGGAAUUUUGGGCAAUGGGCGAAAGCCUGACCCAGCAACGCCGCGUGAGGGAUGAAGGCCUUCGGGUCGUAAACCUCUGUCGGGAGGGAAGAACGGUUGCCAUUCAAAUAGGUUGGCAGCCUGACGGUACCUCCAAAGGAAGCACCGGCUAACUCCGUGCCAGCAGCCGCGGUAAUACGGAGGGUGCAAGCGUUGUUCGGAAUCAUUGGGCGUAAAGAGCGUGUAGGCGGCUUGGUAAGUCGGGUGUGAAAUCCCGGGGCCCAACCCCGGAACUGCAUUCGAAACUGCCUAGCUAGAGUCUCGGAGAGGAAGGCGGAAUUCCCGGUGUAGAGGUGAAAUUCGUAGAUAUCGGGAGGAACACCAGCGGCGAAGGCGGCCUUCUGGACGAUGACUGACGCUGAGACGCGAAAGCGUGGGGAGCAAACAGG